rnacentral:rRNA from 1 species
GACGAACGCUGGCGGCGUGCCUAAUACAUGCAAGUUGAGCGCUGAAGGUUGGUACUUGUACCAACUGGAUGAGCAGCGCACGGGUGAGUAACGCGUGGGGAAUCUGCCUUUGAGCGGGGGACAACAUGUGGAAACGAAUGCUAAUACCGCAUAAAAACUUUAAACACAAGUUUUAAGUGUGAAAGAUGCAAUUGCAUCACUCAAAGAUGAUCCCGCGUUGUAUUGGCUAGUUGGUGAGGUAAAGGCUCACCGAGGCGAUGAGACAUAGCCGACCUGAGAGGGUGAUCGGCCACAUUGGGAGUGGGACACGGCCCAAACUCCUACGGGAGGCAGCAGUAGGGAAUCUUCGGCAAUGGACGAAAGUCUGACCGAGCAACGGCGCGUGAGUGAAGAAGGUGUUCGGAUCGUAAAACUCUGUUGGUAGAGAAGAACGUUGGUGAGAGUGGAAAGCUCAUCAAGUGACGGUAACUACCCAGAAAGGGACGGCUAACUACGU